UCAAGCUGUGGGGUCCUGGCAGAGGGCCCACUCUUGGCCGGGGGGACAAAGCCAUCAAAGAUGGACCCUCUGCUGGCACCCCACAGCUGCA
rnacentral:pre_miRNA from 1 species